AUGUCAAGAGUUUUCUUUGUCAGAAUUCUGAAGAAUAAAAGGGAAAGAUACUACAAGAACAGAGACAAUAAUCCGAGAUCUGGAGAGGGGAGAGGCGUGCAUACCCUGGCCCGGGAGGGGAUGAUGUCCGAAAGCGAGGAGCACGGGUCGCUCCUGGAAAAGAUCGGCGACAAGAUCGGCGACAAGAUCCAUGAGUUCAAGAAGGAUUCAUCGUCCUCGGACUCGGACGACGACAAGAAGUCGCAUAAAUCCAAGAAGAAGCACCUGUUUGGCAGGAAGCAUCCGCUCCACAACGUCCUUGGCGGAGGCAAAGCUGCUGAUCUUGUGAUGUGGAGGGACAAGCAGAAGUCCGGGAGCAUCCUGGGCGGGGUGACCGUCAUCUGGUUGUUGUUCGAGGGCAUCGGCUACCACCUCCUCACCUUCCUCUGCCACUUGCUCAUCAUCUUCCUCACCGUCAGCUUCGUCUGGUCCAACGCUGCGUCCUUCAUCAACAGGUCUCCUCCAAAGUUCCCUGAGGUCAUUUUAUCUGAAACCCAAUGCCUGAUAAUAGCUCAUGUUCUGAGGAAAGAAAUCAAUGAGGCUUUCAUCACCUUGCAAAGUGUUGCUUCCGGAAAAGACCUUAAAACAUACCUCAAGUCAAUUGGAGUCCUCUGGUUCAUUUCUAUAAUUGGGGGCUGCUUCAGCUUCCUGACUCUGUCUUACACUAUUUUCCUGAUGGCAUACACGCUCCCCAUGCUCUAUGAGAAAUAUGAAGAUGAAGUCGAUGUUGUGGGUGAGAAGGCCCUGAUCGAGCUCAAGAAGCAAUAUGCAGUAUUCGAUGAGAAGGUUCUGUCAAAGAUACCAAUGUUAGCCGACAAGAAACAGCACUGA
rnacentral:rRNA from 1 species